rnacentral:rRNA from 1 species
UACGUAGGGGGCUAGCGUUGUCCGGAAUCAUUGGGCGUAAAGAGCGUGUAGGCGGCCCGGUAAGUCCGCUGUGAAAGUCGGGGGCUCAACCCUCGAAUGCCGGUGGAUACUGUCGGGCUAGAGUGCGGAAGAGGCGAGUGGAAUUCCUGGUGUAGCGGUGAAAUGCGCAGAUAUCAGGAGGAACACCAGUGGCGAAGGCGGCUCACUGGACUGGUACUGACGCUGAUGCGCGAAAGCGUGGGGAGCAAACAGG